AACGCUGGCGGCGUGCCUAAUACAUGCAAGUCGUACGCUUCUUUUUCCACCGGAGCUUGCUCCACCGGAAAAAGAAGAGUGGCGAACGGGUGAGUAACACGUGGGUAACCUGCCCAUCAGAAGGGGAUAACACUUGGAAACAGGUGCUAAUACCGUAUAACAAUCGAAACCGCAUGGUUUUGAUUUGAAAGGCGCUUUCGGGUGUCGCUGAUGGAUGGACCCGCGGUGCAUUAGCUAGUUGGUGAGGUAACGGCUCACCAAGGCUACGAUGCAUAGCCGACCUGAGAGGGUGAUCGGCCACAUUGGGACUGAGACACGGCCCAAACUCCUACGGGAGGCAGCAGUAGGGAAUCUUCGGCAAUGGACGAAAGUCUGACCGAGCAACGCCGCGUGAGUGAAGAAGGUUUUCGGAUCGUAAAACUCUGUUGUUAGAGAAGAACAAGGAUGAGAGUAACUGUUCAUCCCUUGACGGUAUCUAACCAGAAAGCCACGGCUAACUACGUGCCAGCAGCCGCGGUAAUACGUAGGUGGCAAGCGUUGUCCGGAUUUAUUGGGCGUAAAGCGAGCGCAGGCGGUUUCUUAAGUCUGAUGUGAAAGCCCCCGGCUCAACCGGGGAGGGUCAUUGGAAACUGGGAGACUUGAGUGCAGAAGAGGAGAGUGGAAUUCCAUGUGUAGCGGUGAAAUGCGUAGAUAUAUGGAGGAACACCAGUGGCGAAGGCGGCUCUCUGGUCUGUAACUGACGCUGAGGCUCGAAAGCGUGGGGAGCAAACAGGAUUAGAUACCCUGGUAGUCCACGCCGUAAACGAUGAGUGCUAAGUGUUGGAGGGUUUCCGCCCUUCAGUGCUGCAGCUAACGCAUUAAGCACUCCGCCUGGGGAGUACGACCGCAAGGUUGAAACUCAAAGGAAUUGACGGGGGCCCGCACAAGCGGUGGAGCAUGUGGUUUAAUUCGAAGCAACGCGAAGAACCUUACCAGGUCUUGACAUCCUUUGACCACUCUAGAGAUAGAGCUUCCCCUUCGGGGGCAAAGUGACAGGUGGUGCAUGGUUGUCGUCAGCUCGUGUCGUGAGAUGUUGGGUUAAGUCCCGCAACGAGCGCAACCCUUAUUGUUAGUUGCCAUCAUUUAGUUGGGCACUCUAGCAAGACUGCCGGUGACAAACCGGAGGAAGGUGGGGAUGACGUCAAAUCAUCAUGCCCCUUAUGACCUGGGCUACACACGUGCUACAAUGGGAAGUACAACGAGUCGCGAAGUCGCGAGGCUAAGCUAAUCUCUUAAAGCUUCUCUCAGUUCGGAUUGUAGGCUGCAACUCGCCUACAUGAAGCCGGAAUCGCUAGUAAUCGCGGAUCAGCACGCCGCGGUGAAUACGUUCCCGGGCCUUGUACACACCGCCCGUCACACCACGAGAGUUUGUAACACCCGAAGUCGGUGAGGUAACCUUUUGGAGCCAGCCGCCUAAGGUGGGAUAGAUGAUUGGGGUGAA
rnacentral:rRNA from 1 species